GUGUCAGCAGCCGCGGUAAUACCGGCAGCACGAGUGAUGACCGCUAUUAUUGGGCCUAAAGCGUCCGUAGCUGGCCGUGCAAGUCCAUCGGGAAAUCUGCGCGCUUAACGCGCAGGCGUCCGACGGAAACUGUAUGGCCUGGGACCGGAAGACCAGAGGGGUACGUCCGGGGUAGGAGUGAAAUCCCGUAAUCCUGGACGGACCACCGGUGGCGAAAGCGCCUCUGGAAGACGGAUCCGACGGUGAGGGACGAAAGCUCGGGUCACGAACCGGAUUAGAAACCC
rnacentral:rRNA from 1 species